GUACUUACCUGGCAGGGGAGACACCAUGAUCACCAAGGUGGUUUUUCCAGGGCAAGGCUUAUCCAUUGCACUAAGGAUGUGCUGACCCUUGCAAUUUCCCCCAAAUGUGGGCAUCUCAGCUGCAUAACUUUUGAGGU
ensembl:snRNA U1 U1 spliceosomal RNA